rnacentral:rRNA from 1 species
GACGAACGCUGGCGGCGUGCUUAACACAUGCAAGUCGAACGGUGAAGGGAUCAGCUUGCUGGUUCUGGAUGAGUGGCGAACGGGUGAGUAACACGUGAGUAACCUGCCCCCUUCUUCUGGAUAACCGCAUGAAAGUGUGUCUAAUACGGGAUCUUCUGGGUCUGUCGCAUGAUGGGUCUGGGAAAGAUAUUGUUUCGGUGGGGGAUGGGCUCGCGGCCUAUCAGCUUGUUGGUGGGGUGAUGGCCUACCAAGGCGGGGACGGGUAGCCGGCCUGAGGGCGGGGACGGUCAGACUGGGACUGCGACACGGACCAGACUGGUACGGGAGGCAGCAGUGGGGUAUAUUGCACAAUGGGCGCCAGCCUGAUGCAGCGACGCCGCGUGAGGGAUGGAGGCCUUCGGGUUGUAAACCUCUUUGGCAAGUGAAGCAGGACUGCUCCGUGUGGGUGGGUUGACGGUAGCUGGAGAAGAAGCGCCGGCUAACUACGUG